AAAAAGUUAGUUAAUAUAUAACAUAAAAUUGUCAAUUUUAAAUUACUAUUUUAUAUAGUACUUUUUG
rnacentral:tRNA from 1 species